GCAUUUUCCUGCUAAGGGAGAUACUGCUCAGGAGGGCAGCUUUCCUAGGGUGAGACUGUCAUCACACUCCAAAUGUGCUUACCACUGCGAUUUCCCCAGAUGUGUGAAACCCAGCUGCAUAAUUUGUGGGAGAGGAAGACUGCAUUCCCACUUCCC
rnacentral:snRNA from 1 species